rnacentral:tRNA from 1 species
UCCCUGGUGGUCCAGUGGUUAGGACUUGGCGCUCCCACUGCCAGGGCCCGGGUUCGAUCCCUGGUUGGGGAA